rnacentral:rRNA from 1 species
AUUCCAGCUCCAAUAGCGUAUAUUAAAGUUGCUGCAGUUAAAAAGCUCGUAGUUGGAUUUGUGGCGCGGCCGUCCGGCGGGGCUCUCUUCUGGGAGCCGUUUGUCUGGUUUUCGGCUGCGCCAUUCUUCGAGAAAGCAUCGGCUGGCAUUAGGUUGUCGGUUCGAUUGCUCCGAUCGUUUACUGUGAAAAAAUUAGAGUGUUCAAAGCAGGCUUAGGCCGUUGGAUACAUUAGCAUGGAAUAAUGAGAUAGGACCACGACGGUCUAUUUUGUUGGUUUGCACGUUGUGGUAAUGAUUAACAGGAACGGUUGGGGGUAUUCGUAUUCAAUUGUCAGAGGUGAAAUUCUUGGAUUUAUGGAAGACGAACUACUGCGAAAGCAUUUACCAAGGAUGUUUUCAUUA